GUGGGGAAUAUUGGACAAUGGGCGAAAGCCUGAUCCAGCCAUGCCGCGUGAGUGAUGAAGGCCUUAGGGUUGUAAAGCUCUUUCAGUAGGGAAGAUAAUGACGGUACCUUCAGAAGAAGCCCCGGCUAACUUCGUGCCAGCAGCCGCGGUAAUACGAAGGGGGCUAGCGUUGUUCGGAUUUACUGGGCGUAAAGCGCACGUAGGCGGAUUGGUCAGUUAGAGGUGAAAUCCUGGAGCUCAACUCCAGAACUGCCUUUAAUACUGCCAGUCUAGAGUCCAGAAGAGGUGAGUGGAACUCCUAGUGUAGAGGUGGAAUUCGUAGAUAUUAGGAAGAACACCAGUGGCGAAGGCGGCUCACUGGUCUGGUACUGACGCUGAGGUGCGAAAGCGUGGGGAGCAAACAGGAUUAGAAACCCUGGUAGUCC
rnacentral:rRNA from 1 species